rnacentral:tRNA from 1 species
GCCGGAAUAGCUCAGUUGGGAGAGCGUUAGACUGAAGUUGUCAUCUAAAUCAUCUAAAGGCCCCAGGUUCAAUCCCGGAUUCCGGCA